GGGGAGGGGGGGAGGGAGGGGAGCAAGAGAGACCUGUCAGUCAGGCGGCAUCCAGAGCGAAAACGAGGCCAGCGCUGGGUGGGAGCGGAAGGAGAAGGGCCGCACUCUCACUCUAAAAAACCCGCAAAAACCAGAUUGGGCCUGGACCUUCGUCUUCCUGUCUUGAGUGAUUACGACCAGUGAGACACCGUAUGUGCUCUAAGUCCACCUUUCCAGCCGUCUCACACUCCAUCCGACUUCUGGACUCCAACCGGACAAUUCAACAUCCCCGCUCCACCCCCACCCCCCUCCCCUUUUCGAUUCUCACCCUGUCUCUAAGGCCUGGAAUGUCCUUCCCUACUUAGAAAGGUUUAAACCGUCCUUUUAGAUCCAGCUCAAAUGCCAUCAUGUCUAUGAAUCUCUUCCCUGAUCCUCCAAACGAAUGAAAUUCCUCCCUCAUCUGAUAUCAUAGACUUCAUGCAUUUAAUUGCAACAUAAAUUGUGAUCAGUGUAUGCCUAAUUACAUCUUCUAGAAGAAGUUGCUCAAAGCAGGAACUGUCAUAAUUUGCAUUUCUCUUCUCUCCUAACCCCUCCCCCCAUCCCCAAACACUGCUUUGAAGAGUAGGUACUUAAUGAAUUGUUGGCUAAAUAUUAAAAAUGUCCUUUAAUGCUCAUGUCUAUUUGGACCUACAUGGGCCAUCUAAGACUUGAAUCAGAAAAAUAAAGAAGCCAUUGUGAUAUUAA